rnacentral:rRNA from 1 species
ACGAACGCUGGCGGCGUGCCUAAUACAUGCAAGUAGAACGCACAGUUUAUACCGUAGCUUGCUACACCAUAGACUGUGAGUUGCGAACGGGUGAGUAACGCGUAGGUAACCUGCCUGGUAGCGGGGGAUAACUAUUGGAAACGAUAGCUAAUACCGCAUAAUAUUAAUUAUUGCAUGAUAAUUAAUUGAAAGGUGCAAUUGCACCACUACCAGAUGGACCUGCGUUGUAUUAGCUAGUAGGUGAGGUAACGGCUCACCUAGGCGACGAUACAUAGCCGACCUGGGAGGGUGAUCGGCCACACUGGGACUGGGACACGGCCCAGACUCCUACGGGAGGCAGCAGUAGGGAAUCUUCGGCAAUGGACGAAAGUCUGACCGAGCAACGCCGCGUGAGUGAAGAAGGUUUUCGGAUCGUAAAGCUCUGUUGUAAGAGAAGAACGGGUGUGAGAGUGGAAAGUUCACACUGUGACGGUAUCUUACCAGAAAGGGACGGCUAACUACGUG